ACACACACACACCCUCAGACUGCCACUCCACCCCUUCUGGUCACAUUUCUUCCACCGACAAACACGCACCCCACCCUGAUUUGUAGCUCCUUUCCUGCUCCCAAGAGCCCUCGGGGAUCUGUGGGUUCCCCAUCCCAGGCCCCCCCAGUGUCUUUCCCUCUGCUCCCCACCUGUAGGAACUGUGCACUGUCCGCGGAGGAGCUUCCAGUUAGAGCCGGCAGGACCCGGCCAGGUGGGCGGGCCAGAACUGCAGCUUGACUCACCUGCGGACGCAGCAGCCAGGCGGGGCCGAAGCCGCAGGUACGAAGUCCAGAGCUGAAGAGGGACGGCCUGUGAAGGCGGCCGGCCGGAACCAGAGGGGAGGGGGGUAGGCAUUCUCCAGGCAAAGCCAGAGGGACCAAGAAGACGCAAAACUGCCUGCAAAAGUAAACUGCCACGGCCACCCCAAGCUUCAGCGACCACCACCCUGACCAGUCGGCAGCCAACAACAUCGAGGCAAGACCCUCCACCCGCAACAAGAUUACAACUCGCUGAAGGCUCAGAAAAUUGUCCAACAGCAGGCUUCUUACUAGCAACAUUCUAGUUGAAGGUGACUAAAAUCUGGCAUUUGGAAAGUAAAAUGGCAUGAAGACUAGUAAAAAUCUCUGCUUCAGAGUCCCUCUAGGAGGCCUGGCUUCCCUGAACCCCUGGCGACCUGGCAAAACUCCUGUAUGUGCCAAGAGCUGGAAUCCCCACUAUUUGCAGGAAGGCGUCUUACAGAGCAGUGGAUUAUCAGCCUUGUGUGGAGUUAGUCAUGCUGCUAUUCUUACUUUUUUAAAAAAUAAAUUACCUUUAGCUCUA